UAAAUCUUUCACAAGGAAUUU
rnacentral:piRNA from 1 species